rnacentral:rRNA from 1 species
AGUGAACGCUGGCGGCAGGCCUAAUACAUGCAAGUCGAACGGCAGCACAGCAGAGCUUGCUCUGUGGGUGGCGAGUGGCGGACGGGUGAGGAAUACAUGGGAAUCUGCCCAGUCGUGGGGGAUAACGUAGGGAAACUUACGCUAAUACCGCAUGCGCCCUUCGGGGGAAAGCCGGGGACCUUCGGGCCUGGCGCGAUUGGAUGAGCCCAUGUCGGAUUAGCUAGUUGGCGGGGUAACGGCCCACCAAGGCGACGAUCCGUAGCUGGUCUGAGAGGAUGAUCAGCCACACUGGAACUGAGACACGGUCCAGACUCCUACGGGAGGCUG